UACGGGGGAUGCAAGCGUUAUCCGGAAUCAUUGGGCGUAAAGGGUCUGUAGGUUGUUUAAUAAGUCUGUUGUUAAAGACUGGGGCUUAACCCCAGGAAAGCAAUGGAAACUGUUGAGCUAGAGUGUGGUAGAGGUAGAGGGAAUUCCUAGUGUAGCGGUGAAAUGCGUAGAUAUUAGGAAGAACACCGGUGGCGAAAGCGCUCUACUGGGCCAUAACUGACACUCAGAGACGAAAGCUAGGGUAGCAAAUGGGAUUAGAUACCCCAGUAGUCCUAGCCGUAAACGAUGGAUACUAGAUGUUGCGUAACUUUUACAGUGUUUUAGCUAACGCGUUAAGUAUCCCGCCUGGGGAGUACGACCGCAAGGUUA
rnacentral:rRNA from 1 species